rnacentral:tRNA from 1 species
AGUAUAACGGUAGUACGACGGUCUCCAAAACCGUUGGUGGGGGUUCGAUUCCCUCCCGCGCCA